rnacentral:tRNA from 1 species
GGGGGAGUGGCGAAAUGGCAGACGCAGCGGACUUAAAAUCCGCCGAGGGUGACCUCGUGUGGGUUCAAAUCCCACCUCCCCUA